GUUAAAUAAAAUAAAAUACAAAAAUCUGAAUGCGUGUGUGUGUCCUUCAGUGCAGGCCUGGGUCUAGACUGCAUGUGUGUCACUGCAUGAAAAGCAGAGUUUCUGGGUGAAGUUGGAUCUGCUGUUUCCCAUGAAAUUGUAGGUGCAUGGUCUUGGGUGGGAAUUUCCCAUGCAAGUGUGUGGAUUCCUGCACACUUCCCCUUAUCCAGGAACAUUUGCGUGAUAUGGGAAUUUCUGGGAUAGUAAAUAACCAAUUAUGCAAUAACAAGUUUUUGGAAAUUUCCAGACUGUGCACGUCACGUAAAACUCUACUUCAUGUGUUGGAAGAGAAGCCCAGUGAAAAGAAGCCAACUCUACUUGUCUCCUAAUUUAUCUGAUUUUCAGAUGUACCUCCCUGCAUAAUGUAUAUGUUCUCUAAUUCUUAAUGAGGGAGAUGUCACAGAGCACGGACACGUCACCGGAUGUCAUCAUAGGUUCUUGUGCCACUUAUUAUGAGACUGUGAGGAGGGUGUAUCUCUCAGGUUUACUUGAGAACAUAGAGGACACAAUCUUGCAAAAACAUGCAAAGAAGGGUCGCCAGAGGAGAACGCAGGUAAGCCUUUUUGUACAAGUAGCUUUUGUGUUACACUUAGUUUAUUACCACUGUAUUACUCCUGGUCCUUGGAAUACAAAUGUUAUACAUGGCCCUAUUACAUGUUUCAAGUUAUAUAUUUGAGUCUAGAAGAGUGGAAUGAAAACAGAUGUUGAAUUCCACCACCUGCUCUAUAGUGGCUACGUGGAAUAUUUACAUUGACCCCCUUAUUUUAUUCUUAUUUAUUAUAUUAUUUUGCACUGACUCUCUUGCACAGGCUCAAUGUACGCUCACUGGACUACACUCACACAUACUACACUGACACUCCAAC